AGAAAGUUACGCUAGGACUGCUAAUUCUACACACCAUAAUUAAAAUUAUGGCUUUCUU
rnacentral:tRNA from 1 species